CUGAGAGGAGCAAAAGAGAAGCAAAGCAGCCGCGUGGCCGCAUGGUCAUGCCGAAAUGCACGCCUAUUGUCAAGCCACGGAGUCGCCGUUCACGGAGUACGUAAGAGCUCACAUGUAAAGAUCGAUGCACGGACGCUCGGUUGCAUUGCGCACCUAAUAAUUGCUGUUGGGGGGAUAUGGAGUCACACAAUUGCACGGGAAGAGGAGAGGAAAAAUCGAGGAGGCAACAAAACUGUAAAGAAAGCAAAUGCCUUCCCUCAAAAGGAGGAAAAAGAAUCUAAAAGUGAGACAAGUGGGAGAAAUAAUAGGCUUCGAUUUCCGCCCUUGUGUUUCCUGUCUUUGGCAUGCUGGCUUUUGGAGCUCUCCGUCAAACGGCGAAAUUGGAAAACAAAAAAGGCUGGAAUCUUGGGAAGAAUCCAGAGACGAUGGUGUGGUAGGGUAUUUCCUUGACCUUUUUUUUUUGGGUAGAUCCUGAUUACUUUUAGGGUUUUUAUUAUGCUGCCAUGGCCUUUCCUUUUUUUCUCGUUUAACUCAUUAUUUGUUGCUUCGUAUUUCUUUUGCUUUGUCACUUCUUGCUUUCUACUGUUAAUCGAAGCUCGAUCCUGUUGCUAUUGCUGUAAGUCUAGGUAAAAGAUUGGAUUUUCUCCAUAUCUGUUUACUGCUAGUAUUUUCAAGCUUCCUGAUAGUGAUUUAUUUGGUAAAUAUUGCUUUCCUGAUCUUGUUAGUUCUUGAUUUGAACAGUAAAAUUUCGAGACUUCGGUGGAAAUAGACGAAGAUUUUGUUUUUCUUUUCUUCUUUUUAGACUGGAAAUGGUUGUGGACUGUGAUGAUCUAUCAUAAUAAUGAAGAGUAGAGCUAGAAUUCCCAGUGAUGGCCUCUGGAGCUGCUGUUUGGUUGCGUUGAUGUGAGUUCCAAACCGGGAAUCAUGGCCUGUAGGGAAUCCUUCGACGUCAGCAUGCACAAGUGUUCGGUGCAAUCCCCACGAGGUGGAUUCAGUGCAGGAGGACCUGAUGGAAUGUCCUCGGCGAUGCCUGCACAUGUUCUAAACAUCAAUAUGGAGGAGCCUGUGAAACGAAAGCGCAGGCAACCAAGGAAAUAUGUUCCUGAUGGUUCAAUGGCCCUUGCCCUGACCCCUGUACCGACUGCCGCUCCGUUGCUGCCCGGAUCUGGUGGAUUCUCACACACUACAGAGGCUACUAACACCGUGACAUCGGUCUCAGCAGAUACUAUAAAGAAAGCAAGGGUCCUGCCAAAAGGUUUUGGCAAGAAGCUGCAGAUGCUUGCUCUGGGAUCAGCAGGGGUUGGGUUUACUCCUCAUGUGAUUACAGUAAAGACUGGAGAGGAUGUAUCAUCCAAAAUCAUGUCCUUUUCUCAGAAUGGACGACGUGCCAUAUGUGUUCUUUCGGCAAAUGGUGCUAUAUCAAAUGUAUCUCUUCGUCGGGCAUCAACAUCCGGUGGAUCUGUAACUUAUGAGGGACAAUUUGAAAUCUUAUCAUUAUCGGGAUCAUUUCUACUCACGGAGAGUGGUUGGUGGUCAGCAUAGUCGAACGGGUGGCUUGAGUGUUUCACUGGUUGGUCCCGAUGGACGUGUUUUAGGUGGUGGAGUUGCAGGACUUUUGACGGCUGCAUCCGCGGUCCAGGUGGGAAAAAAGAGUCAAAGCAGAUUAAUGACUUAGAUUCGGCAUCUGCCCCUGCAAAGCAUUCUCCAGGAGGGAGGUCGCCGGCAGGCAGCGGUCCAACAACCCACACGGGGCACCUUAAGCGAAUCCUCCUGCAGGCCUGCGAGUCCUCUCAAUGGGAGCACUGGGACACUCAACAACAGCAACCGGCAGGGCUUCUCCAACAUGCACUGGAAAUAGCUGACCCUGACACCACCGUGGAAUCUUAGUUCUUGGUGAAGAGGAACAGCAAUUGCUGGUCAUUGCCUGCACCACCUCAGAUCUUUGCUCAGUACCGUGUUGUAGUUUAGAGGCAAGCAGAUCAUCUUUGUAGCUACAUUAUCUAGCUGUUUGUGCUCCUAACACUGUGUAGAUGUUGCAUGGAGUUAAUCCGUGCAUUAUUAUUUCUUUCUCUGGUUUGACUA